UACGAAGGGGGCUAGCGUUGCUCGGAAUUACUGGGCGUAAAGCGCACGUAGGCGGAUUGUUAAGUCAGGGGUGAAAUCCUGGAGCUCAACCCCAGAACUGCCUUUGAUACUGAAGAUCUUGAGUUCGGGAGAGGUGAGUGGAACUGCGAGUGUAGAGGUGAAAUUCGUAGAUAUUCGCAAGAACACCAGUGGCGAAGGCGGCUCACUGGCCCGAUACUGACGCUGAGGCACGAAAGCGUGGGGAGCAAACAGG
rnacentral:rRNA from 1 species